rnacentral:lncRNA from 12 species
UCUGGUCCUGGAGCCUGCUUGGGAUGUGAAACUGCCUUUUUUAGAUGAUUUCUCUAUUUGCCUGGAAGUCCUUAUGGAAGAUGUGCACUGACAUUUAAGGUCCUUGUGACGUGUGUGUUGUCCAUGUGCAGAGGCAGUGG